rnacentral:rRNA from 1 species
UACAGAGGUCCCAAGCGUUGUUCGGAUUCAUUGGGCGUAAAGGGUGCGUAGGCGGCGCGGUAAGUCGGGUGUGAAAUUUCGAGGCUUAACUUCGAAACUGCAUUCGAUACUGCCGUGCUUGAGGACUGGAGAGGAGACUGGAAUUUACGGUGUAGCGGUGAAAUGCGUAGAUAUCGUAAGGAAGACCAGUGGCGAAGGCGGGUCUCUGGACAGUUCCUGACGCUGAGGCACGAAGGCCAGGGAGCAAACGGG